UACGUAGGGUCCGAGCGUUGUCCGGAAUUAUUGGGCGUAAAGCGCACGUAGGCGGUUUGUUAAGUCGGAUGUGAAAGCCCUCGGCUCAACUGAGGAAGUGCACCCGAAAACUGGCAGGCUUGAGUACUAAAGAGGGUCGCGGAAUUCCCGGUGUAGAGGUGAAAUUCGUAGAUAUCGGGAGGAACACCGGUGGCGAAGGCGGCGACCUGGGGUAGACUACUGACGCUGAGGUGGCGAAAGCGUGGGGAGCAACUAGGAGUUAGAUACCC
rnacentral:rRNA from 1 species